CCUACGGGAGGCUGCAGUGGGGAAUAUUGGACAAUGGGGGAAACCCUGAUCCAGCGACGCCGCGUGAGUGAAGAAGUAUUUCGGUACGUAAAGCUCUAUCAGCAGGGAAGAAAAUGACGGUAUCUGACUAAGAAGCCCCGGCUAACUACGUGCCAGCAGCCGCGGUAAUACGUAGGGGGCAAGCGUUAUCCGGAUUUACUGGGUGUAAAGGGCGCGUAGACGGCAGCGCAAGUCUGGAGUGAAAUGCUAGGGCUCAACCCCGGAACUGCAGUGGAAACUGUUAAGCUGGAGUGCAGGAGAGGUAGGCGGAAUUCCUGGUGUAGCGGUGAAAUGCGUAGAUAUCAAGAGGAACACCGGCGGCGAAGGCGACUUACUGGAAUGUAACUGACGUUGAGGCUCGAAGGCGUGGGGAGCAAACAGGAUUAGAUACCCUGGUAGUC
rnacentral:rRNA from 1 species